CUUACACAUGCAAGUCGAACGGCAGCACGGGGCAACCUGGUGGCGAGUGGCGAACGGGUGAGUAAAGCAUCGGAACGUACCCUAGAGUGGGGGAUAACUAUCCGAAAGGAUAGCUAAUACCGCAUAUUCUAUGAGUAGGAAAGCGGGGGAUCUUCGGACCUCGCGCUCUAGGAGCGGCCGAUGUCAGAUUAGGUAGUUGGUGGGGUAAAGGCCUACCAAGCCGACGAUCUGUAGCGGGUCUGAGAGGAUGAUCCGCCACACUGGGACUGAGACACGGCCCAGACUCCUACGGGAGGCAGCAGUGGGGAAUUUUGGACAAUGGGGGCAACCCUGAUCCAGCCAUGCCGCGUGAGUGAAGACGGCCUUCGGGUUGUAAAGCUCUUUCGGCCGGGAAGAAAUCGUGUGGGCUAAUACCCUGCAUGGAUGACGGUACCGGAAUAAGAAGCACCGGCUAACUACGUGCCAGCAGCCGCGGUACUACGUAGGGUGCGAGCGUUAAUCGGAAUUCCUGGGCGUAAAGCGUGCGCAGGCGGUUUUUAAGACAGGCGUGAAAUCCCGGGCUUACCUGGGCAACUGCGCUGUGACUGGAACGCUAGAGUACGGCAGAGGGGGGUGGAAUCCACGUGUAGCAGUGAAAUGCGUAGAGAUGUGGAGGAACACCGAUGGCGAAGGCAGCCCCGGGCCGAUACUGACGCUCAUGCACGAAAGCGUGGGGAGCAAACAGGAUUAGAUACCCUGGUAGUCCACGCCCUAAACGAUGUCAACUAGUUGUUGGGUGGGUAAAACCAUUUAGUAACGUAGCUAACGCGUGAAGUUGACCGCCUGGGGAGUACGGCCGCAAGGUUAAAACUCAAAGGAAUUGACGGGGACCCCGCACAAGCGGUGGAUGAUGUGGAUUUAAUUCGAAUGCAACCGCGAAAAACCCUGUACCUUACCCCUGUGACAAUCGUUCCACGAAUGCCUUGAGAGAAGAUUUCUGCGGAAGGUUGGCCCCGAAAAGGGGAAGCUGGGAACCACAGGUUGCUUGCAGUGGCCUGUCCGUCAGGCUCAGUGUCCGUGAAGAUAGUCUGGGAUUAACGUCCCCGGCAACCGAGCGGCAACCCCUUGGUCGUUAAUUGUGCCAUUCAUGUAAAGUUGGGGCAACUGUUACAACCGAAGACCUGCCCGGGUGACCAAAACCCGGAAGGAAAGGUUGGGGAAUGACGUUCAAGGUUCCUUCAUGGGCCCCCUUAAUGGGUAAGGGGCUUUCACAACGGUCAAUACAAAUGGGUCGGUUAUCAGAAGGGAUUGCCCAAGCUCGCCGAGGGUGGAGCACAAUACCCAGGAAAGCCAGAUCUGUAGUCCGCGAUUGUAGGCUGCAACUCGCCUGCAUGAAGUCGGAAUCGCUAGUAAUCGCGGAUCAGCAUGUCGCGGUGA
rnacentral:rRNA from 1 species